GUCUAUGGCCUUACCACUCUGAAGGUUCCUGAUAUGAUCUGAUCUCAGAAAUUAAGAACAGGCCUGGUUAGUAUCAGGAGGAGAGAAGUACGAGAAGUUGGGUU
rnacentral:rRNA from 1 species